AGGACGAACGCUGGCGGCGUGCUUAACACAUGCAAGUCGAACGGAUUCGGUGGCACUUGUGUUGCGGGUUAGUGGCGAACGGGUGAGUAACACGUGAGUAACCUGCCCCAGACUCUGGGAUAACUCCGGGAAACCGGUGCUAAUACUGGAUAUGACAUCAAGCCGCAUGGUUAUGGUGUGGAAAGUUUUUUCGGUCUGGGAUGGGCUCGCGGCCUAUCAGCUUGUUGGUGAGGUAGUGGCUCACCAAGGCGACGACGGGUAGCCGG
rnacentral:rRNA from 1 species